rnacentral:rRNA from 1 species
GAUGGACGCUGGCGGCGUGCCUAAUACAUGCCAGUCGAGCGAACAGACGAGGAGCUUGCUCCUUUGACGUUAGCGGCGGACGGGUGAGUAACACGUGGGUAACCUACCUAUAAGACUGGGAUAACUUCGGGAAACCGGAGCUAAUACCGGAUAAUAUUUCGAACCGCAUGGUUCGAUAGUGAAAGAUGGCUUUGCUAUCACUUAUAGAUGGACCUGCGCCGUAUUAGCUAGUUGGUAAGGUAACGGCUUACCAAGGCAACGAUACGUAGCCGACCUGAGAGGGUGAUCGGCCACACUGGAACUGAGACACGGUCCAGACUCCUACGGGAGGCAGCAGUAGGGAAUCUUCCGCAAUGGGCGAAAGCCUGACGGAGCAACGCCGCGUGAGUGAUGAAGGUCUUCGGAUCGUAAAACUCUGUUAUUAGGGAAGAAUAAACGUGUAAGUAACUGUGCACGUCUUGACGGUACCUAAUCAGAAAGCCACGGCUAACUACGUG